AUCGUUUCUCGGCCUUUUGGCUAAGAUCAAAAUUUAGUUUGUGUUCUUAUCGAAUUAACCUUCGUUAGAGGUUCCAAUGAAAUUCGUUAAGGUUAUUUGUUUUUUGGAACCGGAUGGGUUCACUACAAAUCCCGGUUAGUAGCGAGGCUACGUGGCACGUCCCCAAGUGAUAGAAUGGGGGUCAGUCGCGGACUAAA
rnacentral:snRNA from 1 species